UACGUAGGGUGCAAGCGUUAAUCGGAAUUACUGGGCGUAAAGCGUGCGCAGGCGGUUUUGUAAGUCUGUCGUGAAAUCCCCGGGCUCAACCUGGGAAUUGCGAUGGAGACUGCAAGGCUAGAAUCUGGCAGAGGGGGGUGAGAAUUCCACGUGUGAGCAGUGAAAUGCGUAGAGAUGUGGAGGAACACCGAUGGCGAAGGCAGCCCCCUGGGUCAAGAUUGACGCUCAUGCACGAAAGCGUGGGGAGCAAACAAGGA
rnacentral:rRNA from 1 species